AGAACCAAGAGGACUUUGAAUGAUCUAACUGCAAGUUCUCCUCCCUACUCUACUACUGUAAAUAAGGUCUCCUACUCAACCAUCCUUAUCAAGAGGACUAGCACCCCUUGGAAUCAGUCUUGAUAUUACAAAGGCGGCCAGCUACAGCCUCUGCUUAUUCACCCUCUUCCUGAGUGCAACCGCGGCCCUGUGUGGUGUAUGAUUCCCUGCUCCCCCAGGCUGAGCCAAGAAAUCUUUGACUGUUCUCCCUGCUCACCUCUAUGUUAUGCAGACUAAGGCUUUCAUUGGGUACCACACUUAUUAACCCUAGGGACUGUUACUCUGACACCAUGCUUCUACUUUCUUGGGUUAAACCCAGAAAACAAAACACACUUUUCCUGUUUUGGGAUUCCCUAAGCCUACCUGGAAACUGAGGAUUCUCUCUACCAUUCUGAUCACUCAUUUUAAAGUCCCAAUCAAUGCCAUCUUUUCAGGUAAACUUUUCCUAGAGGGACAAUAACACUGUUUGUACCUGAAUGUGAAGGGACCUCUUCUUCUGAACUUUUGUUUUAUUA